CAAGUCGAUCCGCAAGCCUCUGGCCCAUCAGAGCAGGGGUGGGCAGGGGUGGGGUGGGGUGGGGGCAUCACCCAGGAGGGCAAUCACAGGAGGUUGCAGGCAGUGAGUGUCUUGCCUUGCCCAAUGCCAUCAAGCCAGGGCCAUGAGGGAUCUAGCAAAGAGAGGCAGGAGAAGGCAGACCCCUGAGGAGUAAGAAGCCAUGCUGGGCCAAAGGUCCUGGGCCCCCCCCCCCUCCGUUUUUCCAGGAUACACCCAGCAGAGCUGAGCACAAGGCUGGGCCGGUGGACCGCUGGGGCGAUUCCAGGAGGCUCACUUGCCCACUGCAGUUCUUCCUGCGAGGCUAACACGGGCAGUCCCAGUCCGCGUGGGCGUGGGGUCCCGAGUGUGGGGAACUGUGUGGGUCCAAGUGGAGGGCCUGGCUCCUGGCCCCGGAGACUUGGCUGUGGUCAGGGUGGUCUCGUGGCCCAAGGCCCAGGCCUUCCAGAAAGGGAAGAAAGAAAAGCAGAGCUGUGGGUGUUGGAGGAGCACCAGGUUGGAGCACGGGGUGCUCCCGCUGAGCCUCCGGGCUCGCUUGAGGAGUGGAGAACUGUCAGCGAGGCCUCGAGGUCCGGGAGGGCGGAGCGCGGGUGUAUUCGAAGGGCCAGCAGGCGUUCGGAGUUUGCGGUUUUGGUCUUGCUCGCCCGCUCGCCAGC
rnacentral:lncRNA from 1 species